AAAGAGGCAGGACCUGACUCCCUAAUGGGAGGAAGUUAAGGCAGGAUAUUAAGUUGGGCAGUUAGAGAAGCAGCUAGACUGAGAAUGCUCUGGAAGGUGGGUCCUGACUCUCUGUCAGGAUGAACGAAGCAGCCAGAUCAUGAGGACAUGGUGGCCAGUCCUUCUAGGGAAGAAAAGGACAAUGAGAGACCUGAUAGCAGAAUCCAGAGUUGCCAUCUGGGACCAUGUGAUAGAAGCUGGGGAUUGAAAUUGCAGAGGAACAGCACAGAAGCAGCCUGGAGGCCACAGUAACCCUGAACAGCCUACCUGGCCCUUUCAUGGAAAUAAAUGUAUUUCUAUUUUGUCUAAGUCACUGAAAGUUUUUAGUCUUUUUGUUACAACAGCCUAACCUGCACUCUAACUAACAAAUGAUUACAAUUACCUCCUAGGUUAUUAUGAUUAUUCAACAAGAUACUCCAUGUAAAGCACUUAGCAGAGCAAUUGACACAAAGUAAAUGGCAGCUUUCAUUAUGAUUUCUGUUGUUUGUGACUUCAUUCCUCUUCUCCAUUCUUCCCUUCCCCUGAUAUGUUUACAUCUAAUUUUAGUUCCCUUGAGAUCCAAUGUUUGAUCAGGCC
rnacentral:lncRNA from 10 species